GGGCAUGGCCGUUCACCUACAGUUUAAGGGGCAAAGCCCAGUAGGUACAUUAUUCACAGGCCACCAUCUCCCAGCCAGAACCUACUUAAACUAUGUUUUAUGAAAACUAUUAUGAAACAAUGUAAAGAAAAUGAUUGGGCGUGGCCGUUCACCUACAGUUUAAGGGGCAAAGCCCAGUAGGCACAUUAUUCACAGGCCACCAUCUCCCAGACAGAAUCUACUUAAACUAUGUAUUAUGAAAGCU